CCCUUAGACGUUCUGGGCCGCACGCGCGCUACACUGACCAGUGCAACAAGCAUCCGUCCUUGGCCGACAGGCUCGGGCAAUCUUUGAACGCUGGUCGUGAUGGGGAUAGACUUUUGCAAUUUUUGGUCUUCAACGAGGAAUUCCUAGUAAACGCAAGUCAUCAACUUGCAUUGAUUACGUCCCUGCCCUUUGUACACACCGCCCGUCGCACCUACCGAUUGAAUGGUCCGGUGAAGCCUCCGGAUUGGCGCGCACCUCGGUGCCGCCGAGAAGUUGGCUAAACCAUAUCAUUUAGAGGAAGGUGAAGUCGUAACA
rnacentral:rRNA from 1 species